GGGGAAUAUUGGACAAUGGGGGGAACCCUGAUCCAGCCAUGCCGCGUGUGUGAAGAAGGCCUUAUGGUUGUAAAGCACUUUUGUUGGGAAAGAAAAGCAGCCGGCCAAUACCCGAUUGUUCUGACGGUACCCAAAGAAUAAGCACCGGCUAACUUCGUGCCAGCAGCCGCGGUAAUACGAAGGGUGCAAGCGUUACUCGGAAUUACUGGGCGUAAAGCGUGCGUAGGUGGUUGUUUAAGUCUGUCGUGAAAGCCCUGGGCUCAACCUGGGAAUUGCGAUGGAAACUGGGCGACUAGAGUGUGGCAGAGGGUAGUGGAAUUCCUGGUGUAGCAGUGAAAUGCGUAGAGAUCGGGAGGAACAUCAGUGGCGAAGGCGACUGCCUGGGCCAACACUGACACUGAGGCACGAAAGCGUGGGGAGCAAACA
rnacentral:rRNA from 1 species